GAGCGAACACAGCUCUUUUAGAAUUUUUUUUUUUUCCUGGCUUUCUGAUCUUGCUCGGAAAACCCAA
rnacentral:snRNA from 1 species